rnacentral:rRNA from 1 species
AUUGAACGCUGGCGGCAGGCCUAACACAUGCAAGUCGAGCGGCAGCGGGAAAGUAGCUUGCUACUUUUGCCGGCGAGCGGCGGACGGGUGAGUAAUGCCUGGGAAAUUGCCCAGUCGAGGGGGAUAACAGUUGGAAACGACUGCUAAUACCGCAUACGCCCUACGGGGGAAAGCAGGGGACCUUCGGGCCUUGCGCGAUUGGAUAUGCCCAGGUGGGAUUAGCUAGUUGGUGAGGUAAUGGCUCACCAAGGCGACGAUCCCUAGCUGGUCUGAGAGGAUGAUCAGCCACACUGGAACUGAGACACGGUCCAGACUCCUACGGGAGGCAGCAGUGGGGAAUAUUGCACAAUGGGGGAAACCCUGAUGCAGCCAUGCCGCGAGUGUGAAGAAGGCCUUCGGGUGUAAAGCACUUUCAGCGAGGAGGAAAGGUUGUUGGCUAAUAUCCAACAGCUGUGACGUUACUCGCAGAAGAAGCACCGGCUAACUCCGUGCCAGCCGCCGCUGUAAGAC